rnacentral:rRNA from 1 species
AUUGAACGCUGGCGGCAUGCCUUACACAUGCAAGUCGAACGGCAGCACGGGAGCAAUCCUGGUGGCGAGUGGCGAACGGGUGAGUAAUAUAUCGGAACGUGCCCAGUCGUGGGGGAUAACGUAGCGAAAGCUACGCUAAUACCGCAUACGAUCUAUGGAUGAAAGCGGGGGAUCGCAAGACCUCGCGCAAUUGGAGCGGCCGAUAUCGGAUUAGGUAGUUGGUGGGGUAAAGGCUCACCAAGCCGACGAUCUGUAGCUGGUCUGAGAGGACGACCAGCCACACUGGGACUGAGACACGGCCCAGACUCCUACGGGAGGCAGCAGUGGGGAAUUUUGGACAAUGGGCGCAAGCCUGAUCCAGCAAUGCCGCGUGCAGGAUGAAGGCCUUCGGGUUGUAAACUGCUUUUGUACGGAACGAAACGGCGAGCUCUAAUACAGUUCGCUAAUGACGGUACCGUAAGAAUAAGCACCGGCUAACUACGUGCCAGCAGCCGCCGUAA